rnacentral:rRNA from 1 species
UGCGGUUAAAAAGCUCGUAGUUGGAUGUCUGCCAGAGGCAGCCGGUCCGCACUUAGUGCGUGUAUGCUGGUGUUGGUUUGGGCAUGCCUCUUGGGGAUCGUUGCUGUGCUUAGUUGCAUGGUGCGGAAUUCAAGACGUUUACUUUGAGGAAAUUAGAGUGGUUACGGCAAGCUAUCGCUUUGAAUACAUUAGCAUGGAAUAAUAAUAUAGGGCGUAAGUUCUAUCUUGUUGGUUUCUAGAACAUACGCAAUGAUUAAUAGGGACAAUUGGGGGCAUUCGUAUUAACGCGUCAGAGGUGGAAUUCUUAGAUUGCGUUACGACGAACUACUGCGAAAGCAUUUGCCAAGGAUGUUUUCAUUGAUCAAGAACGAAAGUAUGGGGAUCGAAGACGAUUAGAUACCGUCGUAGUCUAUACCAUAAACUAUGCCAAUUAGAGAUUGGAGGUCGUUUAUUUUAUGACUCCUCCAGCACCUUAUGAGAAAUCAAAAUUUUUGGGUUCCGGGGGGAGUAUGGUCGCAAGGCUGAAACUUAAAGGAAUUGACGGAAGGGCACCACCAGGAGUGGAGCCUGCGGCUUAAUUUGACUCAACACGGGAAAACUUACCAGGUCCAGACAUAGUAAGGAUUGACAGAUUGAUAGCUCU